rnacentral:rRNA from 1 species
UACGAAGGGGGCUAGCGUUGUUCGGAAUUACUGGGCGUAAAGCGUAUGCAGGCGGAUCGUUAAGUCGGGGGUGAAAUCCCGAGGCUCAACCUCGGAACUGCCUUCGAUACUGGCGACCUUCGAGUCCGGGAGAGGUGAGUGGAACUCCGAGUGUAGAGGUGAAAUUCGUAGAUAUUCGGAAGAACACCAGUGGCGAAGGCGGCUCACUGGCCCGAUACUGACGCUGAGGCACGAAAGCGUGGGGAGCAAACAGG